CCCCUCUUGAUGAUGAAAAAUAUUCGGAUGUAAAAACAUUGUUGUAUUAUCCAAGAGCGCAAAACCGUGUGGAUAUUUCCGUUGCCUUCCUUCUGAGAGAAUGA
rnacentral:snoRNA from 1 species